rnacentral:rRNA from 1 species
GAAUUUAUUCAUUGGUCAGGCUUAACUGUCUGUACUGGUGUAUUGAAUUCCUACCUUCUGAGGAAUCAUCAUGUCAUUAACUUGGUGUGGUGGGGAAUCAGGACUGUUACUUUGAAAAAAUUAGAGUGUUUAAAGCAGGCUAACGUCUGAAUACAUUAGCAUGGAAUAAUAGAAUAGGACGGUUUGGUUCUAUUUUGUUGGUUUCUAGGAUCACCGUAAUGAUUAAUAGGGAUAGUUGGG